GGAAGAUGAUUUUUCGGAGAAGCUGGUCGGCCAUCUUCUUGGUCCGCUUGCUUUCCGAUGAGAGUCAUUAUUCCUUGUUCCAACAAGGUGUCUCCUGAUGACAUUUGGCUCGGCAAGCACCAAGCAGAGGAGCCUAAGCUCAGUAACAGAAUGAAUCUAGCAAAAAAAUGGUCAUGGGCCCAGCCCUACAUAUAAGCAGACUGUGAGCAGAGAACAAGCCCAGUGACCCUUUAGGCCUCCAGGCGAAAUUCCACCCAUAGUGACUGGAUUCAGACGCCAAGGGCCCCUGGCCUCCCAUAUAGUGGAUGUGCCCCUGAGGUUGUGAUAAAGACAAGAGUCCUGUCUGGGCUCUAAUAGGCCGUGAUGCAUUGGCACACUGGCCAGGAGGACCUGAUGGAGAGGGUGCAGGUCAUUGGUCAGGAGAGAGUGGAGGCCCACCUGGAGGAGAGCUGGAUGAAGACAGAGAGUUUGCAGAGGCGGAAGCCCUGAGAGACCCAGUGGUGGGUGCCUGAACCCUCGAUGGACUCCAGCUCUCUUGACCCCGAGACCCUGCCCCACGUUGGGGUCACCACAGCCCUAGUGACACGGGUGGAUCUGAAGAGGAGUCCCUGAGGGAGCGACUGAUGGUGUGAGAUCACGCCGUAGACACAGAGUCCGGCUCCAGGAGAUAUUUUGUGGUUGGGAGUCAGGGCUUCCUUCCUUGAUGACUGAGGUGUGUGUGAAACCACACAGAUCCCCAUGGCAACAACGACAACAGCAAAACCCAACCCAGCAGACGCCAGAGCAUCUUACAUGGCCUUUCAUACUGUUAAUCACACAGUUUUCCAUGAUGAAGCUCUCAAGGUGCCAGGUGCUGCUCUGGGUCCAGGCAAGGACCACUUGCCCCGAACAGAGCACAGGAUCUCGUGCCGUGGAUUUGUGCAUGUGGUUUGCAGACCACAUGCAGAAGCCAGAGACCUCUUAGAACUGCAGCUACCAGCCCGGCCCUCUCUGGUGACUGGGAAGCUUACUCAGAUCCAUAGUCGGCUCUUCUCAUCCCCGAGAGAUCACUCUGCCUGGGAAAGAAAGGAGAGUCUUUCAAAUGCAGGUUACUUUCCAGAGAACAAGUGCAGAGAGUUCUUAAGCACACGUGCUGGUGGUGGAGAACAGAGGCACAGAGGAACGGCAUCUGUGCUGUGGGGAGCAGCACGCUGGCGCUGGUCCCAGGGCAGGGGUUGGUGGGCAACUUCAUUUAGCCUGAGAGGCAGUGGGAAGGGUCCUCCGGGCGGUCAGCCUGCUUCUUCUCUGUCCUCCGCAAGACCUGUGCCCACAGCUGCCAGAGCCCUCAUCACAUCGCUCGCUAUAAAACUGCCAGUUAUCUCUCUCCUCUUCCAGAAUAGCAACCCUCUGAAGGCUAAGGCAUCCCACGUUUAUUGUCAGGCUCACUCUGCACCCGGCACAGUGCCAGGCCUGCUCUGAAUUAACUCACCACGUCCUCACUGUGACCCUCUGGGGCAGUGGUGAGGUAUCCCCACCUUUCAGAUGAAAGAUCCAAACCGUGGAGAUGUUUAUCCAUCAACAGGCAAAGCUGGAAGCUUUGAAUAUUUACGAUUUUGUGGAAGGGUGUCUAAGCAGUGUAGCACUUGAGUGAUUUAAUUUUUGCUGCAGCCAUUUUAUGGAACUACAUAUUAUACAUUAGAGUGUAAAUUACAUACUUUUAACAUUUUUAGUGCUGUGCUGAGUUGUUUACACAGAUCACGUGUACGUAACUUAUGGGUGAUUUAAGGAAUGUUCAGGGCAGUUAGAAACCAAAUGGUCUUUCAGGUUUUGCUUUGAGGUUCUCAAUAAAAUCAACACCACCCAUUUGCCAGAUAUCAAUUUUUAAAUUUUGUUUCCUUUUCUUAAACAAAAGCAAGCACCCUUGAACGUGUACAUCUCUCUUGGGGCAUGUGUGGGAUCCAAUCCUGUAAAUGAACUUGGUGUAUCACAAGACAUGUACAUCUUAAAUAUGGAUAGGUAUUGUCAAACUUACCUCCCCCAAACUCUCCGCCAGUUUAUAUUUGAGCCAGUAGUGUGGGGGAGAACCCACUUUUCAACACGCUAACACUGGGUUUUUAAAGGGGUGUGUGUGUGUUUACCAAACUAACAGAAAGAUACAGUAUCUCGUUGUUGAUUUUUAAUUGAGAUGAAAUUCAUAGGACCAAAGAUUUACGCAUUUUGAAGUGUACUGUUCAGUGGCAUUUUGUCCAUUCGUGAUGUUUGCUUCCACCACCUCUGUCCACUCCUGAGUCUUUUCAUUCUCCCCAAAGGAAACCUGGUAACCCUCAAGCAGUCAUGUCCUCUCCGUCCUCCCCCCAGCCCCUGGCAUCCACUGAUCUGUUGGAAUCUCCUUGGAUUUACCUGUUAAUGGAUAUUUCACAUACACGGAAUCAUACAAUAUGUGACUUUCUGCAUCAGUAUCUUCUUUUACUUAGCACAGUGUCAUCAAGGUUCAUUAAUGUUGUAGCAGCCACGAGUACCCAUCCCUCUUUAUGUCUGCAUGUUAUUCCAUCAUCUAAACGCACGACAGUUUCUUAGUCCAUUCAUCCCACGUUGGGUGUUUGGGUUGUUUCCAUCGUCUGACCGGUGUGAACAGCUCUGAUAUGACUGUUGUCUACAGUAUCUGUCUGAGUACCUGUUUUCAGUUCUUUGGGGUUUGUGUUGUCACGUGGCAAUUCUGUGCUUAACCUUCUGAUGAGACCGUUUUCCGUUCCCACCAUGGCUGUAAGGUAGAGUCCAUUUCUCCUUACCCUCCGCUUUUCUAUUUUUCUGCUUGUUUGUUUUGUGUUCCUUUAGAUCUAAUUAUAUGCAUCCUGCUGAAUAUGAUGCAGCAUUUCAUUGUGGUUUUGGUUAGCAUUUAUUUAAUGCUUUAUAUGUGGAGCAUCUUUUUUAUGUGCUUGUUGGCUAUUUAUAUGGCUUUUUUGGUGAAAUGUCGGUUUGAGUUCUUUGCCCGUUUUUAAAAUGAGUUGCUUGUCCUUUUGUUGCUGAGUUGUAAGAGUUCCUUAUAUAUUUUGGAGUCUAGAUCUUUAUCUGAUAAAUAGUUUGCGAAUAUUUCCUCCUGUUCUUUAGAUUUCACUUACUUGAUAAUAUCAUUUGCUACAAAAGGUAUUGCCUUAUUUUAUUUAAAAGUUGUUGUUUUAAUUUAUAGCGUCCCAGUUGCUAAAGAGCUCUAUCAUCUUUUCAAUGUAUGUUAUCCUACUGUAUUUAUUUUUCUAUGAAAUCCAUGUUCAGAGCAUUUAUUUACUUUUCUAAACUGUUUUCUUCUAACAUAAUCAUAAGAGUUACUUUUAUACCCUGGGUACUAAUAUCUUUAAUAUUUUCCUUCUGUUGCUUCUCUUUUAAUUUGUAGGUAAUAACAUUUUUCAGAUAAAAGUUACU
ensembl:lincRNA